GUUCCUUGAGGCCUACCACAAACGCUGCAGAUAGCAUCUGAGUGUGUGCUUUGUUAUAGGUGCUGAACCCUAAAUCUGAAAAAGUCUGAGUCAACCUAGAGUGGUACUUUUCAACUGUCUCAAGUUUAUCCUGAAGAAUAUCAUUUAUGCAAGUAGCCUGAUCAGCUAGUUUAUCCUGCGCCCAGGCUCGAAGCUGUUCACAGAAAACUUCACCAGAACGAAAAUCAGUAUCAGAAGUAAGAGGAGCAUCGCUAAAGCUCCGUUCCAUGAUUGGCCAGUAUGCAUCACCAGCCUUUAUUUCACAUAAACUUAUAAGAUCCCG